rnacentral:rRNA from 1 species
UACAGAGGAGCCAAGCGUUGUCCGGAUUGACUGGGCGUAAAGCGCACGCGGGCGGACGCGCGCGUGGGGUGUGAAAUCUGGCCGCUUAACGGCCAGGCGCCAUCCCAUACGGCGGGUCUGGAGCCUUGCAGAGGUCGGUGGAAUUCCUGGUGUAGCGGUGAAAUGCGCAGAUAUCAGGAGGAACACCGGUGGCGAAGGCGGGUCUCUGGGCCGAUACUGACGCUGAGGAGCGAAAGCGUGGGGAGCGAACAGG